rnacentral:rRNA from 1 species
UACGUAGGGAGCAAGCGUUAUCCGGAUUUACUGGGCGUAAAGCGCACGCAGGUGGUUUUGUAAGUUGGUCAUGAAAGCUCCCGGCUCAACUGGGAGAGGCUGUCCAAAACUGCAAAGCUUGAGAAUGAUAGAGGAAAGCGGAAUUCCCGGUGUAGUGGUGAAAUGCGUAGAUAUCGGGAGGAACACCAGUGGCGAAAGCGGCUUUCUGGGUCAUUUCUGACGCUCAUGUGCGAAAGCCAGGGUAGAGAACGGG